rnacentral:lncRNA from 1 species
UGAGACACGAUUCCAGAGAACAUGGUUGGAGUUAAAUGCUAAGUGUGUUAGCCUGCAUAGUAGGUGGUCUGAUUGGUCAGUUGCCAAGUCCGACAUGUUGAAUGUAGACCCACCUUGAGCCCUUGCAAGCCAUUGGGCCCUCUUGAUUUAAGGCUGAUGUGAUUUGGUUUGAUUCCCCCGCAGAUGAAUUCUCUGCUUCCUGGGAGGUGCAUAUUCCACCCAUCUCACCAGAUGAUCCAAUAGCUACUAGCUUUGCAACACUAACCAGGGAUCCACACUAGUGUAUCUACUGCCAACUAUCUGCACCCUGCAUUUGCUGGCAAUUAAUGUUUAUAUUGAGUUUGAAACCGUUGCAUUCCCUACGUUGCCGCAGCAGCAGCUAUCAGAACCAGCAUUUUGGUCCUGGAGUUUACAGAGAAUUAACUGUGUUAAGAGGUUUUCUUUCAAUAUAGAUAAUCUAUAGAAAACCUGGUGUGUUUGUCUUUCGCUUUGAGACUCACCACUGACUGUUGUGGCAGGACUGUACAUGCACAAGAUGACCGUCCAACGAGAAACUAGCAUUCUGGUCACGAAGACUUAACUGCAGCCUGGGGCUCAAAUCUCCCUCUGAAUACCCAAUUUUUCUCUCUGGUGCCUUCUGGUUUGUCUCUUUCUGCAUAAUAAUCUUCUCUGAUUUACUUCCACGUGGAGAGUCCUUACAAUUCUCACUGUGCCACUCUGGAGACUACGCUGUAUAACCUAUGGGCAUAUUCUUUGUUCGUGAGGGGCAUGACUCUCGCAAGUCUUUUGACCUUAGCAACAAAAUUAAGCACUGGAGCGAGUUGAUGAGUUUAAAGUCAAGCAAACAGAAGAUCGUCUUUAUGAGAAUUCCAGCAGAUUUUUACAGACACAUUUAUUUCGCGAGGCCUGUGACAAGUACUGCUUCUGCUGGCUCUCUCAGAGCUCCAUCUUUUCGAAGAUGAUUGAGGCGACGCUUGCGCUCCCUCGGAUGGAUAUAAACCUGCUCACCCAGUCCUUUCUCUUCCACCCUUCCACUGGGGAAUGGCAUUGCGUGCUGCUGCACUACCGGCAGCUCCCCCUGCCCCUCCUCAGAACUUAAGAAUGAAGUUCUCAGUUCUGAUCACUGUUUUUCAAGUCUUCCUCACCACUGUGCUGCGUGUAUUCUGUGGAUUUUCUCCCUUGCCUGCAGCCAGCUUAAUUUUGACUGUGGACGUGCGAGAGUUUCUGUAUGCAUCUGAAUGAUCAUCCGCUGACUUGUGUGACCCACGUCCUGGGUCGAUUUGGAAUUCUGUUUAAGAGCGGGCUCUAUCCACUACAAACAGCAUUGAUUCAUGACAUUCGACAUCUGCUGUGGAUCAGUUUGUACAUGGGUGGAUCAUAACACUUCAUGCGGAUCAACCGAGGGUUUGUUGCACAUACUACAACAGUUGUUGGUUGUGCAACCCAGCAACCUCGGUCUUCAGUAAGUAACGGGCUUGAGGGUUCUCGAAGGUACCAGCUUUUUGUUUCAAGUGGUUUAGUCAUGUGGUGUGUGUGCAGGUUGUGGAACUUAUCGGUGAUGUCGUUGGUCGACAGCCAUAUCUCAUGAAUGGCCUUCCUCUGGUUAAUCCUACUUGAGUCUGACCACGUUGUUCACCUCCAACAUCAUCAAGUUUUUAGCAUCAUCUGGGUUUCUAAACUACUGCUCUAGACCCAAAACCUUUUGUUGUAUCUUUCACUCCUUGUCACUUAUCAACUUAGUAUGUGUCCUUGGGUGCAAGGGACCCGACGUUAGGUUGAUGUUUUACUAGCCUUAAUCAGUCAGAUAAUUCACAGAAUGUGCGAGGCAAUGAGCGGUCGACACAUCUUCUUAUUCUACGGAAGGUGGACAGCUGAGGGUGCUGCGGAAUUAUGAGAUCUGCGCCAGAGCAUUACCAGUAAUUGGAAGGAGCAAGUAAUGUUGCGGAGGACCAGGAUGUGAUGAUCAGAUACAAUCCGGCGGUGGCAUUGGGAAUGUCCAUCACAACCUGCCAACAUUCCAGGUUAUGUUGACGGGUCGUGAUGGGCACUCUCAGCGUCUCAUGUCACAAAAACGCAGACAUCUCACUCCGUCACCAACACAGUUCUGAAUAUACGUGCAGUACGUCGAUCAGGCGAUCUCUUCAGGUAAUGUUCAUAUCAGAGUUGUAGUCCCGUAUUUGAACAAAUGGUUUCAAAGCGCGGUCCUUGAAAAUUACACGGAAUCAAAGAACCGCCGGAGCUUUAGGAAAAUUUAUGGCAAUUUUAGUCAUGGUAAGUAUGUUUUCCAAAUGUAGUUGACUCGUGAACUGGGUGGAAAGAGGUUCGAAACCAUGUCCAUGCAUUAUUCUCAAAGAAUACCUCAUGAUUUCUAAGCACUAAAAGCAUAGAAAGUACUCGGAACGUGCAAAUGCUACCUGUCUCUCGUCUUACUCUGACUUCUUCUUUAACCCUGACCAUGUGGGUACCAAAUCUGUCUGAUCAAUUGAAAUUCUAUUUCAUUUAGUAUGAUAAUAAUUUAUCCAGAAAGCAAUCGGAAUAUGUCCCAGUUACUGCAACUUUUCAAAAUACUUCCUGAAAUACUUCGAGCAGGUGAAAUGCUCGGUGCCAAAAGAUUAUCGUCUCUACAAAGUUUUUGUCGUACCUUCGAGGUUUCUGAAUGUUCCUUUUCUAGUGAUGAUGUUCCUUGAUUUAUCUAGACAUCAGAGCUGGCGCGAGUAGAAUUAGUUACAUUGUGUGACGACAUGAAUUUACUUCUACUCCAUAGAAAAAACGAAUGCUUCCUAGCGAAGAAGAUAAACUUGCUGAACGCCUGCAUAUCAAUAUCUCAGAGCUGUAAUCCCCUUUAGGACAGAGACUCUGUCUGAUUGAAAGUGGAAUCUCAAACUUUGACCACCACACUGUUGUAUCUCUGUUCCUAACAAUGGAAUAAAUUUUCAGGUAGAAAACAUAAUUUCAUGAAUGUUUGUGCCUUGAAGCUUGGAUGUAACUGGACUCCACAAAUCGCACGAGCAUUAACUCUGCCAAGAGGGUUUACAAUGGACUUUGUUCUCGUUGAAUUAUUUCUGUUGAGUUGUCAAGUUUGCACAAAAAUUCUAUUUGUCAAUUUUGAUCACUUGUGAAUCAUACUGGAAAUGAUUUUCAAAAGAAAGAGUUAUAGUUGUUCUACGAAAAUCAACUGUGGCCAACAAAGAAAAGACUCAGAUUACACACAUAAUUAUUUCUUUUACUGUUUGACAUACUUACAUAAAGAAUUAAGAUGAUUUUCUUGAUUAAAAAAUAAGUAAGAUAAAAACAUUACAUACACAACAUUCAUACAUUUUGUGGAUGUCAUAUCAAUGGUGUCAGACUUUCAAAAAAGAAAAAGAAAAGAAAAGAAACCAGAACAGAAAUUAAAAUAGAUAUAAACUGAAAUUAUUUCAUAUGUAAAUGUACUCCAGAAAACUUCAUCACCGUUUUAUUUUUAAUUAAUUUCUUAUUUCACGUUGUCAAAUUUGUAAAGUUAACGAUUACCAUUAACUAUUUACUUGUCAAUCUUGGAAUGAGUCGUUCUUAAUUGUAGAGUCCAUCUUAUUCAUCUCACAUGUGUGCAACAAUGAAUUUAUUUCUUUAAGGAAAUUUGAAAAAUUGGUUUGUGAAGUAUCGUCUCCGAAGUACUACAAACCUUGUGGAAAUACGCACAGAAAAGUCUGACUUUAUUCAUCAUUUUGACUUACUCGCAAUAAAACACUAUCAAGUGCAGCCGUAUGGCUCGUCUUAUGUCGGAUAGUCUAGAAUGAGAAGAGCUUGAAGGUGCAACUUUAUUGGUAUUCAGGUACAAUGUUAAAAUCCAAUGCAUUCACAAAGCGUGAGCUUUCAACUAGUUAGUAGCCAACACAGCAAUGGCAUGUAAAAUCUAUUACAGUGUUCAGACAUCGAACAUGCGUAGCUUCUGACCAAUAACACUCCAGAAGGUGAACUUCGUUUCAACUCCGGUAGGAAAAGUUAGGCUCUGAAUGUUCACCGUAUUGAAAUUUCGGAAGUCUGGAAGAAUCGUCGUGGAGUGUUGUGCACAGAGCUUCCUCAAUUUUAGAUUCAAUGACCAGAACGAACCCAUUUCUUGAUCACUAGCAUGAAACACAGAAUCGCAGCAACAGGAUCUCUACAACCAAACUCCAGUCCGCAAAAUACAUAUGCAACUGGUUGACACAAUGGAAUAUCCAGUCCUGCAGCUUACGUUUUCCAUGUCUGAUACGAGUGCUAAUCUCAGUUUCUACAAACUGAUCAGAACAACGUGAGUGUUAAGGCAACUGUUAAGGCAGUAGGACGAAGAUCGCCCGGAAAGCUUCACAGUGCUGACACCCCUGCUAGCAAACACAAGUUUAUGUGAGAUUCAAGCGGCCCCACCUAGUUUACAGAUGUCUCUCGGGAUCCUACGUAGCAACAAACAUAAUAAUACCCAGCUAGAUUUUUCAUCUGUUAGCAAGACGCAAAAUCAGGACAUAGGAAUUUAGAAACAGACCUUCCAUCAAGUCGCAAUGAAAUGGUGUAAGUAUAUUCUGUAAUCGGUGGACAGAUCUGACGACCUACAACUUCUAGAACAAUUGCAUGCUGAUGAAAAGAGGCUUUUCAGAGGUAUGGCACGUUCUCUCAAACGAUGUCCACUUCUGGCGAUGGUGCAAGUUCUGAAACAUUUGGCAUUGCUUCUAACGCUUAUGCCAAUCAGCGCCACGCCUGACAAUGCGGAUUAUGCUGUUGUAUAAUCUACUGUACUAGCAUUGAAAAAUUCGGAACACACUAUUCAGCUAAAAAGUCAACAUUGAAAAGCCGCAUAGAUCAGGCUUUCCGCACUGUCAUGAAGCAGUGGGUAAACACUGACCGGGCAUGUAACCAUACAGGGCUGGUGAUGUGGCUGGAUUUAAAAGACAAAUGAAGCUCCCCAAACCUACAAGAAAUGUCAAUCCUAUCACUGCACAUUACACCAACAAUCAUAAGCUGUAUGAGAUGACAUAGUCAAUACAAAGGAAUCUAACCACCUUUUUGCAUCCGUACAAUGCAAGUUAUGACAACUGUUACUCCAAUGAUAAAGCACCUUUGUUAUACGGCGAUUCGAGGGCAUCACCAACAGCUGGCAAACCCAUUACGUUGCAGAAUAUAUGAGCCACCAAGGGAGCUACCAGAUGUCCUACAUGCCACCCAAACGUUCUCAUCAUUUGAAAGUAAAUCAACUUCAAAUUAACCAACCUUCACAUACGUAUCAAAAUAUAUGAUUUAUGUCCACUAAAUACACACAGUUUCACUGCAGCAUUUAGCCAAAGUGGAAUUCUGAACGCUGGAAUAAACAUACCUGUUCGAAGAUAAAGAAAGGCUGCGUACCAACCAAAAAUAGUGGUGUAUGCAAACCUAAAACCUGCGCGGUGAAAAAGUAGAUUCCAUUCGUUAGGGCAUAAGUAUGUUAUAAUAUUAAGUAAAAGCUUGAGAUGGUUUACCAUGCUUUGAUUAGACAAAUAUUACUGUUGCAGCUUGCUUGAAACUCAGGCAUAAUCUCUACAAGCAAGACUAUCAAGUAAUGCGUUCAUAGAGCGAUCGCUUGAUUACUUUAUUGAUACGCAUCAGUAGUAGCUGAGAUAAAGACACGUCCUGCUACCUGUUAUCAAGUACAGAAAAACAACCAGAUGAACGUCGCCUCGUUUGUGCCUGUCCGAAUGUACACAAACUUUCAUAAAAGGAUACCUGUAAUGAGUGCCGCAAUUUUGUGAUUUCGAUUCUCGGGAUACACCGUCUCCCAGUAAUGAUUCAGGUGAGCUGCAAGGAAGGACAAGAAAAAACAUCAAGACAUAUGAAAACUUGUAUGUUCUCAUGAAGCCCAAAGGAAUUAAGCUAGCCGGAAAGGGCUACUGAGAGUAGGAGAAAGGAAAUCAUCCAAAACGUCUUGAUCGAUCGAAGGCAGAAUUAUUCAAUCGUCGCUUUCCAUUGUUUUCCAGCAUCGAGCUUGCAUAUGGCCAUAGGCCAAGAAGAAUUAGUUUGCAACAAGGCUAUCUAUUCUUCAAAAUGAAGAACAUAAAGAGUUUAAUCUUACCAAGGCCAAAAUACAGUGGACACAGAAGCAUGACUUUGAGUUGAGAAUAGCCCGCACACAAUAAUACUGGGACCAUGCAAGCUCGGAACACCCACUCCUCAGUAAGUGGCCCCUGUUCCAAGCAGUCUAAUGAAAGGUGAACACAAUGGAGCAGUAUCAUCAACCACUAAGCAUCAACAAACCAUAUAUUAGUAAUGAAGGAUACCUAACAUCUGACAAGUUACAACAAGAACCCGAACAACCUAAAUUAGACUAGUUUGCGCAAGUCAACGACACAUUUCACAAACUGGCAGAUUGGUAUCUUACCACAAUGUAGUUGCGCCAUGCAAAUAUGUCGGUAGUCAAGGAAAUUACAUUAUCUCUCGUCCUGGUAAAGAGGCCUUGAAUAAACCCCAUCUCUACUUUCGCCUCAUCUUCAAGCCUCUCGUCUGUGUUCAGAGCUGUCAUGACCAGGGGGCCAAGGUAUAGCAGAGCAGUCAAGAGUAGGGGAUAGAGUGUUGCCUGCCACUAAGAAACGAAUGUUGGGCACGAGAGAGAGCGUGCAAAGAAAACGAAAUCAUUUCACAAUAUAGCUCAUCAACCUCAAGCACAACCAGAGGAAUCAAAGAGCAUCAAUAGCUAUGUUUUGAAGCUCUGCUUCUAUCAAGGUUCAUAAUAACACUGAUAUCUGACAAAUUGAUGCUUGCACAUAUAUUGCAGCUUUAGAGAGUUCUGCUUGGAAAUUAUCAUUAUCUUCAGCUUUGAAGAGGAGAAUUAGACGGAGCAGGAGGGUGUCGGAAUAGUAACACAUACGACAUGGUCUCUUCGAAUGCCAAGUACGGCGAGUGCUGCUGGUAGGUCACCAUUUCGGAGCAUAUCAAUCUGGAAACGUCAGACAUGCGGAUUAUUCAAAAAUUAAGAUUCAAGACACUGUGAAAUAAUUACAUUAUCAGUAAUACAUCCCACACAGCCUACUAAUAAUGUGCGUGGGUUUCACGCUCCUAAUUACUCAUUGCUUACUCACUUGCAAAACAGGUGAAGAGAUCACUUACAGGUGAACCUAAAAGCCAGAAGCAGAGUCCAGAGGCGAGGACGGAGGCAACAACCGAGCACGUAAACCGCCGAAUGUAAUGCUCGUUGAUGGUUCGUGCAGGUGGCAGGCGAAACAAAAGGCUGGGGGUGUAAAGCAUGCCCACGUAGAGCACUGCCAUCGCCGCGCACGCUAAUAUGGCAGUACCGGAUGAAAAACUGGGAUUAGCUGCCAUGGCUUUAGCCCCUGGAAUAAUGUAGAGUGGUCUCAGCUGGAGAUUAGUGCUGCCAAUUUUUGCUCAUGAACAUUCGAGGGACGGGGAAAGCUUCAAAAUCUUCACAUGGGAUCACUUAUAGCAUGGACGUAGUAUAACAACUGCAACCUCAUGGUUCUCAUGAGGUUUCGACUCUGCUAUUACAAUUGAGCUCCAUGACAGAGAUGAGAGACACAAAAUUAGCUACUAAGGAUUGACUACCCAAUGUGCUCAAUUGGAAACCUAAAACUAUCCAUAAAACCUAAGUCCGAAAAAAACAACGUCAAUCUGCAGAGCAAUAAAAUCUAAACGGUCAGACUAGAAAAACCAACAUUUCCACUAAACCUGGUAGCCUCGAAUUGACAGAAUUGGAGAAACCAUCGGAAAGAGACGAUGGAGUGACUGCCACAUCGCCACAAGCUUUGACCUCAAUCCCCAUUACCUACAUGACACAAAUACGCAUCGCAGAAAAAGACCCAAUAUAAGUUAUGUACCCAUGGUUCUGCACACGUCGAUACACAUCAUGUAUCGUGAGGCUUUCCCGCAAAGAUUCUGAAACGGGUUACCACGGAGAAUCAAUCAUACAACAUUUCCAUCGUCGAGGUAUGAUGAGCAUCUCGUCACCUACGGAACACGCCCAUUGCCAAUCGUUUCGUGUAGAAAUCAUCCAUGUCACUUCAUCACACCAACGUGAAAGUGUGCGAGGAAGGCCUCGUGCGAUCUAGACUAGGAUUUACAGUGUCAGAGAUCCAACGGAUCAAUUUACGUUGAAGCAUCUUCUCGAUGAGGAGGUGGCAUGUGGAGAGGGGUGGAGAAAUUUUUAGGGUCCGCGCAAAGUAGGAAAGAUGAGACGAGCUGGAUUAUUAUUCGUUGGAUUUCCCCAUGAUUAUGAAAACUUAAUUUUGCAAAUGCACAUCUCGGAUGCACUUGUGCCGCUGGAGGGACAGCUGCAGAGAAUUCUCCUUGGUAACGAAGGGUCCCCAGGGCGAGAUCCGAAGGCCGACACCAUCUAAGAGCUGUUUCUAAAUUUUAAUUUUAGUUGGUCGUGAGAAUUAAUCGCAUGGACUUUUGAAAAUUAUGGUGAUGUGAGUUCAUUUGACACCACUAGGUCCCACGCAUCAGAUGCUUGCACUAGCCCUAAUUAGGGGUGUGUCUCAGAUCCUCCUGAAACUCCGUCCUGAAGGGGAACCCUUGCCGCAAUGGCACGCUCCCAAGUCUCAUGUGACAGUAAUCGGGCAAGUGAUCCCCGACACUAGGUGGAGUCCCUGGCGCUAUGCGCAAAUUCGUUGAUUUCUUUGCGUUAUGUGGGUGCCCAAUAGGGUGCGUUUCUGCUAAUUUCGAUAGUGACUUAUGUCGAGAAUUGUGUGAUUGAGAAUUGACGUGCACUGCGAACUUGCGUUGGACUUGAAUUCUUAGUGUUUGUUUCGAGUUUUGAGGGUGCGUUACAGGGCAAGCGCCUGCUGUGCGGAGUGGCGUACGAGAUGGAGCACAAAAUUGCAGCUCUGCGGUCGCAGUUAGCGGAUCUAGGGCAGGAGCAUGUUUUGGCGGGGCUUUCUUCAGGGGACUCCUCUCAACGGCAAUCUCUGGUUGAUCAGGUCUCCAGCAUCGAUCUUCCUCUCUUCCGCCGUGCCCUCGCCGAUGUGGUUAGAACUCUCAAAGGCAAUAAAAACCGGUUAGUUAUAGAUCUUCCAUUUCGGGUAUCCUGCUUACGUAUAUUGUUACAUUGGUGCGCUUUAUCGGAUUCUUUGUCCGCACUUCACUAGGCCUUUGGAUAUGCAAACUUAAAUCUAUUUUCAGAGUAUUGUGCUUGGAUUCGGCGCUCUGAAUCAUUUCGUUUGUUUUGGAGUUGUCAAUGAAGGGAAGCUUUAUGAUUCAGUGUAAAUUUCGCGUAAGUACUCCGCAAAUGUCAUCAAACUUUAUGUCCUCAUUGUCUAGACUCUCUUGCCCGUCGCCAGAUUGGAUAAACAGCCUAUUCCUCCAAAACCUUUUCCACAAGCGAAGUGGGAGGGUUUGCAUGAAUGGAUCAGCAGCUCGGGGGACACUUCGAAUGAGAAAGACGACACUGCAAGAUGGUGGAGUGAGGGAUUGCGGCUUGUAGCUGAUGGCGAAGUGGCAGUUCUGGUUUUGGCUGGAGGACAAGGGACUCGUCUUGGCCCUGGUGCACCGGUGGCGAAGGGCAUGCUGGAGCUCAGCGUUCCAGAGCCUAAGUCGUUAUUUCAGCUUCAAGCCGAGCGUUUGCUUCUCGUAGAAGAGCUUGCUGCCUUUGUGCGUACCUUGUCUACCUUUUCCAUGGUGUCUAAUAUUUGAAAAUUCGUCACAAGUAGGCGACAGCUUGCUUUCACUGUGCUCAGCUCGUCGAUUGAAAGGCCUUGAAGUUCCGAUGUUAGAUUGCAACAAUUAUGCGAUUCGAUGUCAAUCAACUUGACGAAGCUCCCAUCAAAAACUUCACAUCCUGUAUGAAGCAAUGCGAGUGAUUCUUCAGAGAUGUUGACAUACCAACAGGGUUGUGUGCCACUGUGAAGGUUACGGAUGACACCAUCAAGCGUCGAAUUCCUUGGCUAGUCAUGACCAGUGAUGCCACGGAUUUAGCUACGCGGACUUUUUUUGAGGAGAAGAACUUCUUUGGGCUUGAGAAGUCGCAGGCAAGCUGAACUUCUAUCCCCGCGCACACUAUGGUAUAAGUUAUCAGAGUGUUUGGAAAGUUUCCAAUUUGACUUCCUUUAAUGUUGGGCAUCCUGGAUCCUAUUAGUUGCCGUUUUAUGUUCAGUUCUUUCUGGGCUCUUGCAGGUUUGGUUUCUGAAGCAGAGUAGUCUUCCAUGUGUGGAUCUCGAUGAAGGCCAUGCCAUGCUCAUGGAGGCACCAUGGAAGGUGGCCAUGGCUCCAGCUGGAAAUGGGGCUCUUUUUUCUGAUCUCCGCACAGCUGGCUUCAUCAAGAAGUUAUCCAGCCAAGGGGUGAAAUAUGUGCAGGUUUUCACAUGACUGAAUAUCUUGCCGUUUCUAAUACAGCUGAUACAGCAUCUCAUUUCGUAUUAAAAUAAUUGUUAUAUUUUUAAACUAUAUUAUUCUAGCAUUGCGACAAACUUGUUUAAGCAUUCUUCAUGUUAGUGGCUGGAAUGCAUUUUGCACUGAUUCAGUCAUUCCAUACGGUUCGUGCAUUUAUAUUCGACACUUUUAUUUAUCAAUGAGGAUCUUGCUAGCAGAAUCGUGUUUCAUAUAGCCAACGGCAAACCUUGAUGCCCACGCAGGUGUACGCAGUUGAUAACGCUUUGGUAAGAGUUGCAGAUCCAGUGUUCUAUGGUUUUAUCCAUCGGCGUCAAGCAGAAGUGGGUGUGAAGGUGGUCUCCAAGAUCCACGCGAAAGAGUCAGUUGGGGUGGUUUGCCUUCAUCAGGAAGGAGCCUCAAACCUCAAAUGUGAGCGGUACGGAGUCCUAGAAUACAGCGAAAUGCCAGAAUCACUGACCACGGCUAAAGAUAACUCCGGACAACUCCAAUUUCGAGCAGCCCAUAUUUGCAUCAAUAUGUUCUCCGUGCAUUAUUUAGAAAAAUUGACAGAUUUGGAUUCCCAGCUGGAGUUUCAUCCUGCUGUGAAGCGGAUCCCACACAUGCGAAAAACGUCUGGUAUUUGGGAGACGGUCAAUCCAGCGAGGCCGAAUGGAAUUAAACUUGAGCAGUUUAUCUUUGAUUCAUUUCAAAGCUGCGACUCGGAGAAGGUGAGCCAGCUUCUCCGUGCCUCUGAAUUACUCUCUCUCUCUCUCUCUCUCUCUCUGAUGUUCAUACAAGAAUUUUCUUUGCAUACUUCGUACUUCUCAACCCUCUCGCUGCAUGUCGGGUAGGUGGAAUUUGACUUGCGGGUGUGAAUUUAAUGUCUGUGUGUAAAGGUUGCACUCUUAGAGGUGAGCCGUGAGGAGGAAUUUGCACCUAUCAAGAAUGCUGUCGGUCCAGGUAUUGCAGACACAGUAGCCACUGCUACUGAACUUCUCUUGGCACUCAAACAACGAGUGAGCGCUUUAACACCAGAAAUAGGUGCAGUGAGCAAGGGGUUCGCGCUUCUCAAAGCGUAUGCUGGAGGCGCCACUGAGAGCGCAACUUCAGACCUUGUGAAUCUUAGCAUUGAAUAAUCUAUUCCUUUGAGUUGGCCCAAUUUCGUGAAGUAGGGACUUCUCGAAGUCUGGAGGAUUGCAGGAUGAUAAAGUGAAAUGACUUCACCGCGUAUUGUCGGAGUCGAUUCCAGCGACUAUGAUUGGCUUCCUCAUUUCGGAUUGUGAAGUGGUACCUUUUUUGUCUGUCACGUGCUGGCAUCUGAAAGGAUUAGUUCGGGCAGAUUCUCUUGGCCUUGAAGAUCGGCAAGUCAUGAUUUAGGCUAGUAUUAGUCGUUAGGCAGCAACGAUGCCUUGAAAACUUGGAAGAAAAACGAGUGUUGUGGACUACUGGUCAGACUCUAGAUACGUAGCUAUUAAGUCUACAUAUUGAGGAUUUCAAAAACUUUGCGUACGUUGAAUUGUUGGUAGAAGACAUCUGACAUGACUGCUUCAGUAUAACUGAGUAUUUUGAUUCAACCACUGCUGAGUUCUCAUUCUGUACUUGAUGAACGUGGCUCACUGUGAACCUGCAGAAAUCUUAAACGUGUUGCUGCAGCAAGCAUGCUCAACCGCGGUUGAUCAUGUUUUCAGCAGCAUCCAGGGUUCUGAUGUACUAGACCGAGCAUGCGGAUCGUUGUCCAUGUGAUGUCGGGUCUACUCUCUCGUUCAAAAUGAUGUAUAUUGACACCAGUACCCAUUGAUGUCCUUGGACAUGGUCGCACAAGUUUCUGGUCAAUCUCUUAUCCACUUUUGGUGAACACCCCAACCAUACUGUUUUGAGUAGCCAGUAUGAAGGCACCAAAACUUUGACGCGAGGUUUGUGACCCACAGGUCAAAGACGAGAGUCAGACUUCACUCCUUUCAGUACGAAACAACUGCAUCAAUCACAACGACUAGAAUUGACUACAUAACUGUACAGACUCCUGCUUGCUCAUUUUCUACUCCUGAAAGUGUAAGACGGACUAUUGCUGUCUUAUUAUUGUAUGCUUCACAAAGCUGCAAAAAUGUGUGAAAUCCGGAUCAUGAGUCCACGUAGAAGAACCGUAGAACUCGUGCGUGGACUGCGAAAAUCCAUGAAUGAAGCAACCAGGACACAUGACUUAGAAUCUAGAAUCGGCAAAAUUGCAAGGACCCAAAAAACGCAUACAACAGUGUAUGUGUCCAUGCAGGAGCUGAUUCCUUUGAGAAGAAGGGAGGGUUGGAUUUUCCAUGCUUUUCAACAGAUUUUCAUGCUGAGCUGGUAGUUUAAUAGAAACAACUUAGAUGUGAGAAAGAGAGAGAGACAAAGGCAUUUUUCUUGGGCUUUGACCCCAAAAUCUGAGACCAAAUCGAUGGCUUCAAGUCAAACAAUAUGUUCAUGAGUUAGUGGUGUGCACCUUUAUGCUUUGGAAAAAAGCAGUCACUUUUGGUUUUGUUUUAUCACAGUUAUGUCUUAUUUUUCUCUCUAUUAUUAUUAAAAUCAUAGUUUAGUUUGUUGUUGUUGGUAAGUAGCAUAAUUGUUUUUUGUUCCAAAUAUUACUAAUAUAAUAGGAAUCCUAAUUAAUUAAUUAAUUAGUAAAAACUAUAUAUAUAUAUUAUUUAUUUAUUUAUUUAUUAUUUAAAGGAAUUAUGAAAGAGUCCAUCAAGCACUAUAAACAUUUCAAAACUUCUCAUAUAACAAAUUGUUCUUUAUUUUGAUUUAUGGUCCGUAAGAUAGCCUCUUGCGUGUUUCACGUUGUUGUAUGUAAUGCAUGAUAUGAUUUAAUCAUACGCACUUCCAAUGUCCGUUUUAAUGUUUUUUUUAGUUUUCUUUUCCGAUGUUAUGGGAUAUUAGAGUGCGCAGUGAAUGUGAUUUCACUCUUCCAUUGUUUGUAGUCACAAGAGCCAUGGUCUAUAGAAAUGGACCUGAAACGGUGAAGAUUGCAAGCUUCGAUUACUUGCCCACAAUUGGGUUCACAUACGCGGGAUCCUGCAAAUCCCACGACAAAACUGUGAAGAUCGACAGAGAGAUGGAUGCACAUCCACGUUAGUUAGUUUCGGCGCAGUAAGUGGCCCCAACGAAGGAAGAGUCCGUGACCGAUCGACUGAUUGACAGACAAAUCGUCAGAUUCGAAGGGUGGGGAACUGAUGAAACCAGAAUGCCGCAUGUCGGUUGGCACAUGACCCGAAUCACAAGACUGAACUCGCGAGAGGAGAUCCAACAGCACGCCAGCACUGCGGCUCUGAUCUAUUCGGACAACAUCGAUAUGGAUAUGGGGAGGGAGUGGUGCACGUGUUUGAGCAGCGCUGCAUCAAUGGGAGAGGCAAUGUGGUGACGAGCAAGGUCGGGGAACGAAGGAAUGGUUGCAAUGGGGCCGGAGUGCUCACCGCAACGAGGCACCCAUCCUGGUGUGGGAAAACAAUGUUUACCGGCGUGGACGAUGGAAUUGUUGACGGGCCUUGAAGUGCUCAUAAUGCAAACCGCGGUUCCAAGUCCUCGGGCUAUGGCGUCCCACUGCUACUACCCCCUUGCCUAGCGUAAGAAGCAGGUCAAGACUUUUCCAGAUUGAGUUAAUGCGAGCGUUCGAGGCAACAACUGCAGCUCCCGAAAGCACGGCCGAGAAAAGCCCCAAGCGACCAUAGUUAACCGUUACCAGUUCGAGGGCCGACGCGGGGCCCGCAUCCGCAUCAAGUUUUUAAAUCGGAGAAGGACUCUGCGGACUGCGGUGGAAUCGUGUGGAGCAUCUCUCUGACACACUCAGGCCGAUCAUGCGACUCCUCGCCGUCCUUGUGCCUCGUGUCCGGCAGCGCAGCAAACCUUCAGUUUUACCGCAUCGUUGUGGAUGAAAGUCGUUCCGAAAAUAUAAAUUAUCCGUGCGUCAGUGGGCACUUUGGAGGUGUGUCAGUAAAUGAGGCCUGGACUCUCGAUGCAUGUCGAUGUCGAUGUCCCUUGGCGCGUGUUUUUUUUAUCGACCCGGAAUGGCGAGUUUUGGCCGCAGUCAAUCUCAUGAGGCGGGGCUUGAAUCAACGUUAGAGUGGCGAGUCACAAGAGUAAUUAGGCGGAGGGUAGUUAGAUUUUGUCGGUGGGUUGGUUGCACCGGCCUGUGCUCCUCACGAGCAGGUUACGUAGCUAGCGUUGGAUCCUUGGAAGGACAAGUGCACAGUCGGCAGUGGUGAAGUGACUCGUUGUCGUAGUCGUCGUCUGUCUCAGUGCUGGGUUCGACAUCCGGUGGGACGAGGUUACGCUAGGCUGAAUCCGUGUGGGGUGUAUGUCAAAACGUCUGGUUGUUAAGGGGCGCCGCGUCUCCGAUUCGGUGGAUGAAGGGUGGCGUUGGAACGGAGAUUGAGGAAAGUGAGUUGAAGGUAACGUGCAUUAUUGAGGUGGAUGCAUGGCCGGUGCUUGAGCAUUGCAUGUCGAAUCGCAGCUGUCUCCCCUCCUGACGCUGGCGGAAUCGAUCGACUCCAACUCUAGCCCACCCGCUUUCGGUAAUUUCUUGGAAUCAUAGCAAUGACGUAUCUGUGCCAUAUGAUAAACUUAAUUGAAUCAAGUUGCAACGAUGUGCUUUCGGAUUGUAGAUUACCCCUGGACAAACGUUAUGGCCUCUUAGUUGGAAUAAAUUUCCGCCGAAUUUCUAGAAUCACCUCUUACAUUGAUAGCUGUCGGCGAUUUGCAGUCUCUAACGUGUAGGAUUUCGUCCAUGAGAGACCAAGGUGACGAAUAGAAGUAAGGGCAGGGUUGAAUCACCGUUUUGCUGAGUGGUUGAAGCCCAUUUGCAGCGCAGUUGUGCUCUGUGGAGGUUGAAUGUUUUCGGUGAAUUCGACCGUUGCAGGGUGCCUCAUAAGUCCAGCGGAUUGAUUGGCGCAGCUUGUGCUUGAAUGAUCUUUUUGACUUCUUCUAACCCAGGAGAGACAUAGACCCUCCGCUUUGAAGCGUAACUUUCCUCUUUGGACCUGAUAUUCAAGCCAGUUCAGCGAUGCUUAUUUUACACUGCGUGCUCGGAUUCAGCUUCGCGUAACUCCCACGAUGUCGCUUGAGAUGGUCUCGGGCUGUUGUUCGAGGUUGAAGUCCUUGAAAAUUAGGUGCAUAAUUGAGCCUCCGGAUGUAGCUUGUGAACUUUGCCAACUAAUGCCGCCACCAUUUCUGUUUAGGGCUUUCGCCAAUGAUGGUAAGGCUAAUUCUCGAGAUUUUCAGCGCAUUUUGUGAUGCUGGUUUUUGCUUUCGGCUCUCGUUAUAGGUGCAGACACAGUGAUUGUCGUCCUCAAGAUCCUGCUGGUAUUAUUUUCAUACUCUGCCAUUGGGAGUCUCGGUGGUCUUUAUUUAAAACCCAAUUUUGGCAUACACCGUUUUGAUCAUACAAUGCUGAGAGGAUGAUGAGCCAGUAUAGUGGCGUCAUUGUCCAGGAGAACCUCUGUAACAUUUGAAAAUCGUGAGUUAACACUCGUAAUGGUGUAGAUGCUCUGCGCAGUGUAACUUUUGACUGUGGAAUUGUUUCUGUAUGUCUCCCGGUUGCUAGGGUUAUGCAAAAGGCGAGGAAGUUGUAGGCAUUAUGGUGAGAUGAACUCGUGCGUUUAUGUAAGGCUAACUGCACUACGUGUGCUCCUCCAGAGCCGCAAGGAGUCUGAUGUUGGAGGCUCGGCGAACGCAAUUCCAGGUUCCUCUCAUGAGGGAGGUAUCAGCUUCACAGAAGAUUCGCACCCUGCAAGACCCUGGAGCAAGCUACUCUGUCACCUCUGGCCUUAGCUCAGCUGGCCGCAGUGAAAAGGUCAACACAAAAACUUUCAUCAGUGAUCCUCACGAAGAUGCUCAAGCGCUGGCCAGUGAGAUCUCUGGAAAACUCGCUAAGUUUUCAUCAAUAUCCUCCACGAGUCAUGACAGCAACAUCGGAGCUCGAAGACUAUCACAACGGCGAGGAGAGUCCAAAAGCCUCAGGAUAGACAAGCUACAGAAGCCCAGAGGGUUCAAGAAGAUGAAGUCCGAGAAGGAUAGUGGUGAAGGUGACGGUAGAAAUUUGAGUGAUUCUGCGAUGGAGUACAUGAACGUGGACGUCAGAGAAAGAAUCAAACGAAUUGAAUCAGCUUUUGAGGGAUCCAGUACCACCGUCUCCGGCGAAUUGCGGAAAGAGGGACUGAUCAAGCAAUUGAAGGAACGGGGGCGGAGAGAUGCAAAUCGAAACUCUGAAGAAAAGGCAAGUGGUAGGUAUGAACGGGAAUCUGCUCGACGAGAAGAGCUCACGAGGAGGGUCAACUCCCUCUCGCAGCUCCUGGGAAAUCAUCUAAAAGGAAGUGACCGGAGCGCGCUCAAUAUGUUGGCCAUGGUGCAGGAUGAGGAGCGUCGGAACAAUUUUGAGUUGGAGAGCUUUUUUGAGAGCGACGAGGAGGGGCUCAACCCUACGCAGAUGGAAAUGUCCCGUGCUCACGAAGCAUCCCCUCUUCACAGAGCCAUGCUGUCCCGCGGCAAAGAGCAGCCGAAAAGAAAGUCUCAAAGUCGCCAUGGCUGUGAGAAACCUGCAAGUAUGCGCGCGAAAGAAAGGGGUGACAGCAUCGAACGUCCUCGUAGCGGAAAUUCAUCCGCGCGGCUCAGAGAGAUGCCUGCGACUAUCAUACUUAACGAUGAUCUCGCCGUUUCCGACCUCCCGGAGCAAAAUGGCUGCGGAAUUUGGGACUGGUCCCGGAUCCACAAGCACGGUGGCAAGACUUUCCUGGAUCUAACAGGAUUGACGUGCACGCUUCCGGAAUCGAAGCUCCUUCAAGGCGACUUACUGACGGAACAACAUCCUCCGGUGCAGUCGAUCUCCUCUCUAGACUCAGAUGCUAAUGCAUUGCCGCUUAUGAUUGGCGAGGAUGCACACGACAGUGACCCGGGAGGAUAUUAUGUGGAGACGGGAAUGCCUCAGGAGCCUCCGCGGAAUCUGAAAGGUGGGGGAAAACGCAAGGCGUCGCUUCACAAUGCUGUCAAUGAUGUACUUGUUGAGACUGGUUCCACCAACCACCUCGAAUUGACUCGAACGUUCAAUCAGAAGUACAGGCCGAAGAAUUUCAAUGAGAUUGUUGGUCAAAAUGUGGUGGUGAAAUCCCUGUCAACUGCGGUAGCGAAAAGGAAAGCGGCACCGGUGUAUAUGUUCAUGGGCCCUCGGGGUACGGGGAAGACCUCCGCUGCGAGAGUUUUCGCAGCAGGGCUGAAUUGCUUGUCGCCGGAUUAUGCGAGGCGACCAUGUGGGAUUUGUCGAGAAUGUGGGACAAUUGCGCUCAACCGGAGCGCGGACGUGCGACAGAUCGACGCAGCCUCGAAUAUGGACAUGGCGAGCAUGCGAGCUUUGAUGGGGAGCUUCACGCCACAUGCGCAGUACAAAAUCUUCAUCGUGGAAGGGUGUGAUUUGUUGAGCUCUGAUAUUUGGAAUGCAUUUCUCAAGCUGUUGGAAGAGCCGCCUCGCAAUGUGGUCUUCAUUCUCAUCACCACUCACGCAGAGCGCAUCCCGCCGACCGCCAUAUCCCGGUGUCAGAAGUUCCAAUUUUUCAAACUGAAGGAACCUGACAUUGUGAAACGACUGCAGUUCCUGGCAGCCAAAGAGGAUUUGCGCGUCGAGGCGGACGCAUUGGCGCUAAUUGCAACGAGAUCAGAUGGGUCGCUUCGUGACGCCGAAAUCUUUCUUGACCAGCUCUGUCUUUUGGACAAGAACGUUUCAAUCGCUUCAGUUAGAGAGCUUGUACGCUAUCCUGCAACCUUCAUUCUUUUUCUGUAAUUCUUCCUUUGAGACCUUGUGGUGAACAUUCUUCAUUGUUCCAAUUUCAGAAUUGAGCGCUAAUGCUUGAUUGUUAUCUGCAUUCGGAAUUCAUUAGGUGGGCUUGCUUCCGGACAACAAGACUUUGGAACUGUUGGACUAUGCUCUUUCGGCCGAUACUGUGCGCACUGUUCGGACAAUUCGAGAAGUGCUCAUUUCUGGCAUUGAGCCUUUGACGGUGGUGUCGCAGCUAGGUUCUCUGAUCACUGAUAUUCUCGCUGGUAGUUUUGACGUCCACCGUGGAGCACGGAAGGAGGGAUUCUUCAGUCGAAGUUUCUGUGCGUGUUCUUCGUGAGCUUUGUCUUUGCCACUUCGUCUCAUGCACUACACUGAUAAUAGUCUUGUCUACAUCUCAGUUCUUAUUAGCUGGGAUCUCUCACUUUGCAGCUGUUCAGGGAGAACAUCACGGGCUCCGGAGAGCGCUCAAAAUUCUCUCGAAAUCAGAAAAGCAGUUGCGCGUGUCCACGGAUCCGGCGACGUGGCUGACUGCUGCGCUUCUACAAUUUGCUCCAGAUCGAUCGCUUCCUCCUUCCGACUUCAACAUGAAUGUAGCUCCAAAUCGCGUUGUAACCGCAUCAUCUUCCGAUGUCUCUGUCUCAGGGGAGCAGCAUCCACUUGUAGACGAACUAAAUCAGGCCAAUUCUCCAGAGUCUACCUCAAAAGGGCGAGCGCUACAAGUGUACGUAGAAAAUGGGAAGGACCCCACUUUAGAAGUGGAGACUGCGACGUCGUUGUCUGAGCAGAAAUUGGAGGAAACGUGGGCCACUGUACAGCGGACUUCUCUGGGCAGUGUUGAAGAGCUUACAGAAGCCAGACCUUCACCCGAGGCUUUCCUGGAGUAUCAGAUAUUUGGAGACAAAGAGUUGGAUGAGCUGUGGAAGCGAGCUAUUCGAAAGAUAACAAAUAGGAGUUUGAAACAUCUUCUUCAGAUCCAUGGGCAACUAGUGGCAGCUGGCAUCUCCGUUGGUAGGCAUUCAUUCAUUCUGUGUUCUCGAGUGUCAUGUGGAUCUUGUUUUUGUGGGAUUAAUUCUGUGAUGUUUGGGAUUUUGAUACGAGAGUUUGCCUCUUGAUUAUGAUGUCGUAUUUGGCACAUAUGCGCCGCGAUGAUUUCAGAUGGAUCACGCGCUGUUGUUCAACUGGAUUUCGACCAUGGACGUAACAAGCACAAAG